CGGGCUGUAGUAUAAUGGUAGUAUACCAUCUUGGGGUGAUGGCGGCCCCGGUUCAAUUCCGGGCAGCCCGACCA
rnacentral:tRNA from 2 species